AAGUCGUAACAAGGUUUCCGUAGGUGAACCUGCGGAAGGAUCAUUAAUGAAUCCCCCCCCUGCGAAGGGUUGUUGCUGGCCUCUCCUCCCCUGGAGAGGCAUGUGCACACCUGGAGCACCCCUUUUUAACCCCCUCACAACCUAACCAUGUGGAAUGUAUGUUUUGUGGGUAACAAGCACAACUUUCAGCAACGGAUCUCUUGGCUCUU
rnacentral:misc_RNA from 1 species